CAUGUGCUAUAAGAUUAUUGUAUGGCGAACGUUGUGUCCACGUUCUGUGAAAGUGCAAAUGCAUAUUUUGGUGAGUUAAGCAAGAAGUUUUUUGUUCAUUACAAAGAAGGGGAGAAACUGUUGAGAAGGCUCCGGACAUUGACCUGAAUGAUCAAAUCUCAAUACCUAACAGCAUCAAGGUCAGCAAUGGUGGCGAAAGCUUGCAGGGACAGAUCCACCUGGUUUGCUUCGCAUCCUGGACACAUAUCAACAAUCUUCACUGUAAUUUCACCAUUGCGGCAGGGCUGAGGUAUGCCUUGGUUUGUCGAUCCAGUGCAUCGAACCCUGUAACGUCUCCCACAGGCCGCACUAUUGUUGAACAGAGCAGCAUUAGCUGCGGCUAUCAUCGUGCCCUGAUUCUCGAAUCCAUAGCAUGACGAUGCUGCAAAUACGGGAGGAGCAAGUUUACAUUACUCUACGCGCGAUAUAUUUUAAUAUAAGUGGAAAAACAAAAUCUCUCGUACUCAUUUUUUCCUAGAUAAAUAUAUAGGUUUAGAAGACAUGCAGAAAUGAUUUAUAGAACUAAAAUUACAUUUUCCCCUGCAAAAAGAGAAGCGACUUACGAACAUAAACAUUAUAGUAGGUGGCAGUUCCAGCAAUGGCAUAGGACCCGGAAAUUAGGCUGCUGGCGAUGAGCGUGAAGACUAUAACGCGUUGGAUGGCCAUUUUUCGACCUAAAUUUUGGGGGAGAACCUCAAAACUUGGUUCUAGUAUCUUGCUCAAUUUGUGUAUAACUAUAUAUGUGUAAUCACACUGUAUUUUUGCAUUCAAAGAAGUGUGAAAUUCCCGCGCUAUAUAUAAGAUACGAGGCGGCACAGCUUUGUCUGA